rnacentral:rRNA from 1 species
GACGAACGCUGGCGGCGUGCCUAAUACAUGCAAGUCGAGCGCAGGAAAUCGACGGAACCCUUCGGGGGGAAGUCGACGGAAUGAGCGGCGGACGGGUGAGUAACACGUAAAGAACCUGCCCUCAGGUCUGGGAUAACCACGAGAAAUCGGGGCUAAUACCGGAUGGGUCAUCGGACCGCAUGGUCCGAGGAUGAAAGGCGCUUCGGCGUCGCCUGGGGAUGGCUUUGCGGUGCAUUAGCUAGUUGGUGGGGUAAUGGCCCACCAAGGCGACGAUGGAUAGCCGACCUGAGGGGGUGAUCGGCCACACUGGGACUGAGACACGGCCCAGACUCCUACGGGAGGCAGCAGUAGGGAAUCUUCCACAAUGGAUGAAAGUCUGAUGGAGCAACGCCGCGUGAACGAUGAAGGCCUUCGGGUCGUAAAGUUCUGUUGUAAGGGAAGAACAAGUGCCGCAGGCAAUGGCGGCACCUUGACGGUACCUUGCGAGAAAGCCACGGCUAACUACGUGCCAGCCGCCGCAGUAA